rnacentral:rRNA from 1 species
AUACGUAGGGGGCGAGCGUUGUCCGGAAUGAUUGGGCGUAAAGGGCUCGUAGGCGGCCCGGUAAGUCUGGAGUGAAAGUCCUGUUUUUAAGAUGGGAAUUGCUUUGGAUACUGUCGGGCUUGAGUGCAGGAGAGGUAAGUGGAUUUCCCAGUGUAGCGGUGAAAUGCGUAGAGAUUGGGAGGAACACCAGUGGCGAAGGCGACUUACUGGACUGUAACUGACGCUGAGGCGCGAAAGUGUGGGGAGCAAACAGGAGUAGAUACCCUGGUAGUCCACACUGUAAACGAUGAAUGCUAGGUGUAGGGGCAACUCAGUAGCGCAGUUAACACAUUAAGUAUUCCGCCUGGGGAGUUCGCACGCAAGUGUAAAACUCAAAUGAAUUGGCGGGG